rnacentral:rRNA from 1 species
AGAGUUUGAUCCUGGCUCAGAUUGAACGCUGGCGGCAGGCCUAACACAUGCAAGUCGAGCGGAUGAGAAGAGCUUGCUCUUCGAUUCAGCGGCGGACGGGUGAGUAAUGCCUAGGAAUCUGCCUGGUAGUGGGGGACAACGUUUCGAAAGGAACGCUAAUACCGCAUACGUCCUACGGGAGAAAGCAGGGGACCUUCGGGCCUUGCGCUAUCAGAUGAGCCUAGGUCGGAUUAGCUAGUUGGUGGGGUAAUGGCUCACCAAGGCGACGAUCCGUAACUGGUCUGAGAGGAUGAUCAGUCACACUGGAACUGAGACACGGUCCAGACUCCUACGGGAGGCAGCAGUGGGGAAUAUUGGACAAUGGGCGAAAGCCUGAUCCAGCCAUGCCGCGUGUGUGAAGAAGGUCUUCGGAUUGUAAAGCACUUUAAGUUGGGAGGAAGGGCAGUAAGCGAAUACCUUGCUGUUUUGACGUUACCGACAGAAUAAGCACCGGCUAACUCUGUGCCAGCAGCCGCGGUAAUACAGAGGGUGCAAGCGUUAAUCGGAAUUACUGGGCGUAAAGCGCGCGUAGGUGGUUUGUUAAGUUGGAUGUGAAAGCCCCGGGCUCAACCUGGGAACUGCAUCCANAACUGGCAAGCUAGAGUACAGUAGAGGGUGGUGGAAUUUCCUGUGUAGCGGUGAAAUGCGUAGAUAUAGGAAGGAACACCAGUGGCGAAGGCGACCACCUGGACUGAUACUGACACUGAGGUG